rnacentral:rRNA from 1 species
UAAACAAUUGAAGGGUUUGAUCCUGGCUCAGAAUGAACGUUGGCGGCGUGGAUUAGGCAUGCAAGUCGUGCGGAAAGGCUCCUUCGGGAGUACUCGAGCGGCGAAAGGGAGAGUAAUGCGUGGAUAUCUGCCCCCUGGUCUGGGAUAGCGGUGGGAAACUGCCGGUAAUACCAGAUAAUGUCUGCGGACCAAAGGUGUGAUUCCGCCGGGGGAUGAGUCCGCGUCCUAUUAGCUAGUUGGUAGGGUAAUGGCCUACCAAGGCGAAGAUGGGUACCGGGUGUGAGAGCAUGGCCCGGCUCACUGGGACUGAGACACUGCCCAGACACCUACGGGUGGCUGCAGUCGAGAAUCUUCGGCAAUGGGCGAAAGCCUGACCGAGCGACGCCGCGUGCGGGAUGAAGGCCUUCGGGUUGUAAACCGCUGUCAGAGGGGAGGAAAUGCAUGGGAGUUAUCUCCCAUGUUUGACCUAUCCUCAGAGGA